rnacentral:lncRNA from 1 species
CUUUUUUAUUUUUUUAUUUUUUUUUUUUUAUUUUUUUUUUAUUUUUUUUUUAUUUUUUUUUUAUUUUUUUUUAUUUUUUUUUAUUUUUUUUUAUUUUUUUUUUAUUAUUUAUAAACAAAACCAAAUAUAUUUGGCUAAUUCUUGAUUUUUUUUUUUUUUAUAGAUGCCUUCAAAAACAUAUUAGACACUAUAAUUAUUAUUGGAAUUAUAUGGGUAACAUAUAGAUGCGUAUAUAAUUUAUCAUAUGUUUAUAUAUGUUUAUAACUAUUUUAUUAUAAAUACGUUUAUAUAUACAUGAAUGAGCAUAUUACAAUUUUAUAUUACAUAUAAGUACAUAUAUUAAUCCGAUAUAACCUAAUAUGAUAUGCUUUAAUCUAAUAUGAUUUAAUUUAACAUAAUAUAAUAUUAACCAAUAUUUUAUUUUAUUUUUUUUUUUUUUUUUUUAAGAUAUUAUCUCCUGUACUUAUGAGUUUAACCCAAACAUACAGUAGUGACACAGUUUACUUGGUUUCCAUAUUGCUUUUACUAACUCACCUUAUGUUCCACAAUUAUGGUUUUAUAUAUGAGAAGAAUGAAAAUAUAAAUAUAUUUGAUGCUACAUCUUUAAGUUGUGUUGUUAUUGCAAGUGUAAUAUUAGGGUCUCGCCUUGAGUCUGUUGAACAGGUAUAUAUAUCUUUAUUUCCGUGUAAAAAUUAAAGUAAUCAAAUAUAUAUAUGUCUUUGCUUAUUUAUUUAUUUAUUUAUUUAUUUUUUUGUAUUACUUAUAGGUAUAAUACAUGUUACCUGUUACUGUUGUAUUAAAAAAAAUGUCUGUAUUUAUUCAUACUGCUAUUUAUUUUAUUUUUUUCUUUUAUUGUUUUAAAAUAUA